CAUGCCACCACAGUUUACUAUCAGUAGAGACAGCUGUUGAAAAACAACAAACAAGCAGAUAAAUACAUUAUUGUGUGUUUAUGAGUUUUACAUGUCUGUGUGACUGAUUUCUUUACACAGCAGGUCCUCACAAAUGGAGCUUGAGGAAGGAUGGUGGUGAGGAAACAACAACAACAAAACCAUUGAGACAUUAAGUGUAGUACAGCAGAGAGAGGAGAAGUAAGGGAACAGGUUAAAAAGUAGUCAGUGUGGCGGCCUCUAGGGUUGGUCUUAGGUAUUGUGUUGGGAGGAUGUCAUUCGCCGGAUCCUUGGAGGCGGAGCUGCAACAUCAUCACAGAUGCGUCACACCUGAGGACCUCCCCCAUCUACUCACACCUGGCAUGUCACCUGAUUGCACUUUUGAUUGUAUCUGGUGCUUCACCUUCACUCGCACACGCACCAGCGGAGCAUGCACACUGAUAUACAGACAAACAUUCCAUUAGUUAGCUGUUGGGUUUAUUAAAUCAUCAGAAAAAGACAAGUAAUGUAGGUAGAAAUGGAAUUAAUAGAAGGAAACAAACAAACACGGAAACACAUAGAUAGAAUCAGUCAGAUAGGGGGAGGAAAGAAGUCGGCAAAAAUAAAUCGAGGAAACAAGGAAGAAUGUCAAAGGAGAUAAGACAGGCCACCGCAGCAGGAAAGAUCUCGGCUUCGAUCACCAUCUCUGCCAGACUCACUGAGUGUUUGCUGAUCUGACUUAGAGCUGAGAAGACCUGCCUCUGAGGACACAGGGAACACAGAACAGAACACUGACUUGCACCACAUGAGAAGAGAGAAGAGGUAAUGCAGGAGCAGAGCAGACGAAGACAAAUGGGGAAGAAACAAAGGGGUUGAGGAUCAUCUGCGCCAUGUGAGCGACUCCUCCAGUGUCCACCACCGUCUGCGCCAGUUCGGGCGCGUGUUUGCAGAUGUCGCUAAUGGUGGAGGAGGCGAUGCGUUUGAGGGCAAUUUCAGGCUCCCGCAGACACAUGAGCAGCAGCGGGACCGCGCCCGCGUCCACGACGGACUGUGCUAACACUGCAAGCAGAAGAAUCGAGUCACACAAGAGAUGUGCUGCAACAGGCUUCCACUUGGAGGCGCCAAAUUCCGAGGCAGGCUUGUUAACUUCUACACUAUGGAACCUCACGUUUCAAGUUGUGAGGUGUACUGACGUUCUGUGAGCCCAAAGAGUGGACCAGCUGUGGAAGGAUGUCUUCCCUCACCACGGCCUCUGCCAGCUCAUCGCUGUGGUCAGCCAGACGGCCCAGAGCUAAAGCUGCUGUCUGCUGGAUGCUGGGGACCACGUCCAACAUCAGCGGACGCAGCAUGGACAUCACACCUACAGGAAGAGAAGCUGAUGCAUCAGAAAUUUGUGAGGUGUACUGACGUUCUGUGAGCCCAAAGAGUGGACCAGCUGUGGAAGGAUGUCUUCCCUCACCACGGCCUCUGCCAGCUCAUCGCUGUGGUCAGCCAGACGGCCCAGAGCUAAAGCUGCUGUCUGCUGGAUGCUGGGGACCACGUCCAACAUCAGCGGACGCAGCAUGGACAUCACACCUACAGGAAGAGAAGCUGAUGCAUCAGAAAUACGCUGAAGACCGACUGGCAGAAACAGAGAGAAGAACGGUGUCUACACACUGGAACUACAUUGGCAUGAAAACAGAAUUAGCUGAGCGGGUUCUGGCGUUGGCGACCCCGGGGGCCCUGCGGUCAUCCAGAGGACGAG